AGUGGUGAAUGGGUUGUAUGCAUCGGCAGGCUCUUUGCUCUGGCAUCGAACUGUCGUCUCGUACCCCUCGUCAUUGAUGCUUCAAGAUUUGGCUUGUGCGGGUUAUAAAUGGGUUCCUGUUUUGGCUACCUAUUGUUAAGGAAUGGUGCCUCUCGUUGCCCCCCUUCCUCCUGUCGCCCUUCGCGGGCAGCAGGAGGACGUCGCAGCAGUGCUUGUGUCCCGAUCAAUCCGCGGCUCGCCGUGAGAUGGUGAAGGUCCACGAGUUUCUGCUUGUGAUCUCGGAUGCGGAGCAUGAAGCGGGCGGUGGGGUCUUCGGGCUCCGAUCGUCCAAUUUGAAGCGUUUUCGCUCGGCACGUACGACCGUCGUGCCCGCGGCGAGCUCUCGACCCGCAAGGUCGUUUGUCUUGCGCG
rnacentral:misc_RNA from 1 species